rnacentral:rRNA from 1 species
GGCUUUGGACGCGGAGGAUCUACCG